GUGAAAUUCUUUCGCAUACAUCCGAUAAAAUUGGAACGAUACAAAGAAGAUUAUUAUGGCCUUUGCGCAAGGAUAGUAUGCACAAAUAAAAAAAUGGUCUAAAUUUAU
rfam:Brassica napus, WGS project CCCW01000000 data, contig: 15507